CACUAGGGCCAGGACUGGUCAUUUUUAUAAUGAAAAUUUUGAAAAUGUGUACACAAAAGCAAAGAAAGGAGCAAAAAUGAACUGUGAGGCCUGGAUCUUUGAAAAGCCUGAGUCGGGGAGGAGAGAGAGAAUGAGGGGACGGGGGUGCGGGGGGACCGGUGCUGCAGAGGAGGGUCCUUUCCAGCUCUCCUGGCCUCACUGCUCACAGGGCAGAGCCAGGCCACCCCCAGUGCAGGCCCUACCACACAUCUGCAGAGCACGGUCAUGGCCUCAGCUCUCACACCCUCAGCACCUGGGUGACCGAACUCCCCUCUGUACUCAAAGCCCCCAGAACGUUCCCCUCCUCCUCCAGAAGUCCCAACUGAGAGCUGUAACCUCGUAAACGUUUAACACCUAUGUUCCCCGUCUUCUUUCACUCUGAUCACGUCUGUACCGGUGCAAACUCUGCACGAUGUAUGAAGUACACACAAAUAUGCUCUGAAUUCAUCGUUGCCGCCUUUCUGUUCGGCCCUGUGCGUCACUCACAAGGAGUCUGUCACCGACAGAGGACAGAGCCAGUCUCCACAUUUUCAUUUUGCUCCAACGUACGCAGAACACCCUUUGUUUAAGAUGCCUUUUCAUACUCUUGCCCUCUAGCAACGUCCUAAGUGAGUAACCUGAAGUUCUGCAGGUGACCUGACUCACCCAGGGUCGGGUGAGCAGUUCCAGACCUCAACCUGGGGUCGAAACUCCAAGCCCCUGCAGCCACCAGAAUGCCUCUGUCACCAAGAACUUCUUAAGAGUCUUCCAACCUCACCACAAAAAACUAGGGAGAAGGGGAGGGUGUAGCUCGGUGGUAGAGCGUAUGCUUAGCUUGCAUGAGGUCCUGGGUUCAAUCCUCAGUACCUCCAAUAAAACAAAAAAACUUUUAAUGCAAAGAAAACGCAGCAUGUCAAAAUAUCAAGAUGACAAAUUUGGUUAAAACUAGAAGGUCAAGCUCAACUUUUAAAAGGAUAAAAAGCUAUUUUGAAUAACUGGUUUCACCUCAUCCCUGUCUAUAAUGUGCUGUGAUAACAUCAGGCCUGUGUGGACAUUAAUCAGUUAUGAAACAGCACCUUCAAGGAGUGACUUUUCUUAUUGACCUGAAAUCAUGAAACCAUGAAAGUUACAUCUGACUGUAAAGAGUCACUCAGUCACCUGACUGCAGCUGUGGUCACUUAAUCACAUCCUAAGGCCAAUCAAGUAAACACUGUGAGAGCUUAAGGGGGCAAUCAUGUUUCAAAAUUACGCAGAGUAAAUCUCAUCUUUCCUGUCUAAUAAAAGUCACUUCCUAUAAAACAGAAGUUCAGAAUAUAUAAGCAAUAAAUGAACAGUGACAAUGUUAUCCAUUGCAAUGGUCCACCUGGAGGGAUAUUACGUAACUCUUGCACAAAAUCCACAAAGUUGACAGAACACUGACAGCUACUCCAUUUUUACUUUGUGGCUCAACUCCAAAGUGUUGCCAGGAAGGGACGAUUCAGGCAUCUGCCGACCAGUUUCUGGAGCCGUGGGUAGACAGGGGCGAGAGGAAACACACACAGGUUUUUAAAGUGCCAUGGCUCAUGCAACCGCAUGGGGUCGCGUGGACCCCAGGCCGGCCUGCGGUCCCUCCAGCACAGAGCUCACAGCCGGGGUUCUCGACCAACCCCGUUAUCCCCGGACCCACGGUGAGCGUGGAUUCUAGAAUUCCACACCUUCUAAGAGCGUCAUGCUGUUGGAGGAGAGCGCGACCCUUGGCUCCGCCCUUGAAGGCAUAGUGCUUAUUAGGCCUGGAAAGCGUUGCUGUGCUGUGAACCCAUCUGAGGUUAAAACCUACCCGAGUAUUUGGUUCCUCCCAGGAGCACCUAAGAUGAGCGAGAAUUCCCUUCUGUGCUCUUGGAGUGGUUUGCCAGGAGCAUUUCUCUGCUUUAUAAUCUUAAAAAAGGAAGCAUAUUAUUGUUGUAAGUUCUGCUAUAUGACAAAACGUGAGAUAAAGCAACUUUAACAAGGAUACAAACCAAAAUAACAGCUGAAGAAUAUUAUCUGUUACCUGGUCGACAGGGUAAACAGACGAGUCACACCCUAGGCUCCUCUCCCAUCUCCUGCCAAACCUCUCAAUCAUAGAAGUAAUUUAAAGUCAGCAUUUUAAAACGCCAGACGUCUUAAAGCUGUCGGGGGCCGUGCACUAGGCUUGCAGAAGGAAGACAACAGGGCUAAAUGCCACAAAGCUAAUUUAAACAUUAAGUGUCCUCAAAGCCCCCACCCUCUGUAGAAGUUCUGCCCUGCAGAUGGUGGCUGAUGUAAAUCACAGCUAACAUACAAAGACGAAAAUGCCUGGGAAAUGGACAGUAGCAGGUAAGGUAAUAUUUUAGCAAAUUUAUUAUCAGCAUUUGCUAAUUUUAUGGAGAUGGGCUGAGCCAUCUUUAAAUGCUAUUUCAGACCCACCUCAGAGCACACUGUGAAGAUACUACAGCCUGAACCAGCUGAAGAGGAUGCUUCCUCUCGGUGACUUUAACAAUCUCUGCUGCUAGGGGCUUCCAACAGCUUAUUCAAGUCUCCUGCCCAGUUUUAAUAGUCACGGUGGAUAGAGGUAGAAAGACCGAGUAAGUCAGGUCUAGGUCACCACAAAGACCCGGAUGCUCGUGUUUCUGGUCGAGCAGAACACAAACAAGAGGGAAAUGGCACCAGCGUGUAUGGGUUCAACAGUCGAGUCGAUUUGCAGAUCCUAUUGUGGUUUCUAACACUAAUAAAAUCCUGUGUGACUCACACAAGUCCCUGAGCUUCUGUGUAACCAUCUAGAAAGUGUGACUAAUAGUAGCUACAUCAUAGACAAGAAAUUUAGGAGAGAGAACCAUACAAAGGACCCGUGUGCCAUCCAGCAGGAGUAGACGUUCGCUAAGCCGUAAAGUAAUUUGGGUCCAUCUUCUUCUUUUUUCUUUUUUUUCUUUUCAGGAGCAAACAAACAUAUUGAUUCACUCUCUGAUAGAUGGCUCCCCUGUUUUUAAAACAUAAGGAAGUACAAGAGGCUGCUAUGGUGGCACCGUUUUCCACCUAGAAAUCACGUUAUUGUGGACCCCGGGGACAGGACCGUAGCACCAUCAAAACUCGGGGAGCUUCCCAUUUCCACACUGGAUGCACUGACCUCUACACACAGGGCCACCAGGAAGGGCAAAGGGGUGGGACACCGGGGCGAUGCCGAAGAGGGUGGGGCACGAGGUUGGGGCAGAAAGAGCUCUGACUGAAGCCUCCAGUCCCGUCUAGUUUAUUCUAGUGUUCUUCAGAUACAUCAGUGUUUUCAUAAAUGUUCUAUGAGUACUUGAAAAGAGUGUAUUAUGCACCUGUUGAUGUAUGGUUCUACACAUGUCAAUUAGGUCACAUUUGUUACUAAUUUUUAUUGUCUCCAUUUUCUAUCAGACACUAAGAAAAGAAGAUUAAAAUUUUCAAACGUUGUUACUCUGUCCAACAUUGCACUGGAACACCCAACCGGUGUGAUAAAGCAAGAAAACAAAAAGUACAAGGACUGAGGGGAAAGAAAAAACUGUGAUUGUUCACAAUCUGAUUGUGUACAUAGAAAAUCCAAAAUAAUCUGUAAAUAAGCUAUUAGAAUUAAAAAAGGAAUCCAGUAAUUUGAGAUGGAGCAUAGAC